rnacentral:rRNA from 1 species
UACAGAGGUCUCGAGCGUUGUUCGGAUUCAUUGGGCGUAAAGGGCGCGUAGGCGGCGGGGUAAGUCUGGCGUGAAAUCUCGGAGCUCAACUCCGAAAUUGCACUGGAUACUGCUCUGCUAGAGGGCUGGAGAGGAGAUCGGAAUUCACGGUGUAGCAGUGAGAUGCGUAGAUAUCGUGAGGAAGACCAGUGGCGAAGGCGGGUCUCUGGACAGUUCCUGACGCUGAGGCACGAAGGCCAGGGGAGCAAACGGG